GUCUGUCCACACUUCGAACGGAAUGUCACUGCCCUCUAAAAAUUGUCUCCAAGUUUGUAAAGCCCAACGAACUGCAUAAGCUUCUUUUUCCCAUACAGCCCACCUUCUUUCAGUGUCUGUGAGUUUUUUGGACGUAUAUGCACAGGGUUGCAGAUUUCCAUUAUCAUUUUUCUGGAGUAGAACUGGUGGCACUGCUAUGUCGCUAGCGUCUGCUUGCACUAUAAAAGGCAAAGCUGGGUAAGGAUGUUUUAGAAUGGGUUCCUGUGCGAGAUCCAGGAUAA